AUUAAAAGCCUUAGUUACGGGAGCGCACCACAUGUUCUGCUCAGCACUGAAGGAACAGAAAGAAGUUGAAAGGGACAAGACUAGGGUUGUAAAGUAGAUGAGAUGGAGUUGUUUAUGCUUGGGGCCACAAUGGAUAUAGCCAGCUUGGAAACGGGACUACUAACCAGGGCAUUGCUCCCAUCCAAGUCUGUACCAAUCUCCUGAUCAAGCAAGUGGUUGAAGUAGCUUGUGGCUCACAUCAUUCCAUGGCUUUGGCAGCUGAUGGAGAGGUAUUUGCUUGGGGUUAUAACAACUGUGGCCAGGUGGGAUCAGGAUCCACUGCAAAUCAACCAACUCCUCGAAAAGUUAAAAACUGUUUACAUAUUAAGAAGGUGGUUGGCAUUGCCUGUGGUCAGACCUCAUCCAUGGCUGUUCUGGACAAUGGAGAGGUAUAUGGAUGGGGUUACAAUGGCAAUGGUCAGCUGGGCCUGGGAAACAAUGGCAAUCAGCUGACCCCGGUGAGAGUGGCAGCUUUACACAGUGUGUGUGUGAACCAGAUCGUCUGCGGCUAUGCACACACUCUAGCACUCACAGAUGAGGGCUUACUCUAUGCCUGGGGAGCUAACACCUAUGGGCAGCUGGGAACUGGCAAUAAGAAUAACCUGCUAAGCCCCGCCCACAUCAUGGUGGAGAAAGAAAGGGUCGUAGAGAUUGCAGCCUGUCACUCUGCCCACACCUCUGCUGCCAAGACGCAGAGUGGGCAUGUGUACAUGUGGGGCCAGUGUCGUGGCCAGUCGGUCACUCUGCCUCACCUCACCCACUUCUCCUGCACGGACGACGUCUUUGCCUGUUUUGCCACCCCUGCUGUCUCAUGGCGCCUUCUAUCUGUUGAGCACGAAGACUUCUUAACUGUUACAGAGUCACUGAAGCAAGCAUUUGAUAGUCCAGAAACUGCUGAUCUGAAAUUUCAAAUUGAUGGGAAAUAUAUUCAUGUCCAUAAAGCUAUUUUAAAAAUCAGGUGUGAGCACUUUCGAUCCAUGUUCCACUCGUACUGGAAUGAGGACUCCGAGGAGGUGCUAGAAAUAGACCAGUUUUCUUACCCCGUGUAUCGUGCCUUCCUCCAAUACUUGUACACGGAUACAGUGGAUCUGCCCCCUGAAGAUGCUAUAGGUCUUUUGGAUUUGGCGACAUCGUAUUGUGAAAACAGGCUGAAAAAACUUUGCCAGCACAUUAUCAAGCGAGGAAUUACCGUGGAGAACGCCUUUUCAUUAUUCUCCGCUGCAGUCAGAUACGAUGCACAGGAUUUAGAAGAAUUCUGCUUUAAAUUUUGCAUCAAUCACUUGACCGGAGUUACACAGACUGCAGCAUUUUGGCAAAUGGAUGGCCCGCUGCUAAAGGAGUUCAUUGCUAAAGCCAGUAAAUGUGGAGCCUUUAAGAACUGAAGCUGAAGGCUGUGCGUUCUGUGUGUAUGCUCUGGGGCACUGUGGGUGGCAUGUCCCAUUUGUGCCCCAUGGGUGAUGUAAUUCUGCAGGUCACAUUCCAUCACAGAUUUGCAUAUUUGAAAGCUCACUAGCUUCCACUUUUGACUUCGCUAUGAUACUUCGUAUACUUGAACCCUGAACUGGAUCAAAAUUCUGGUUUUCCUGAAAAGAUCUUAUGCAAAAGGAAUUGGCUCUGUCAUUUGGAGGAUGGUCAUGACACGUGAUUUUAACGGUGUUCCACUCGGAGUUUUAUCAUGUAUCCAGUUGAGCUUGCUGUAAGGACAAAGCUGUUCUCUGGUCCAUGAACUCAUUUCCAUUUGCAAAAGCGCCUUAGCAACUCAUUUUCUGAAUGUAUUUUCAUGUCUAUUAAUUAGCAAGAAGAUGAGGAGAUGCUACAGUGACUACUAUCAACAAUGCUGGGGGUAGUGACUCAGCAAUUAAAAAUUUGUUGAUUGACAAAAUCUAAACAAAACCUCGAAGCCCCCUUUUCAUGGCCACAUUGCAAGUGAUUGAAGUCCAAUUAGUUAGUCGGUUAAAAUUCAUUCUGCAACCUGUGAUAGUCUUUUUCUUUGUAGGUUGAUAAAUGCACAUUAAUGUAUUCACUAUGUAACAACCACUGUUCUGUUGGCUUAUGAGAUAAACAAAAUGAGAACUUCAAUGUUUACUGUUGUUCUUCCUUGAAAAAAAAACUAUUUAAAAUAAAGAACAAAUUAAAGUAGUGGAUCCAUUUACAUAAUCCAUUCAUUCAGAAAAUUAUUUCUGAGUUUUUAAUGCGGGUUAAGAACCACUUCUUGAAUUACCAAGUAAUUUGUAUGAAUAUGAAUAAUAGUGAAAAUAACAGGAGUAAAUCCUUCAAAAAGUCCUUAGAUAGCAUAUUUUUUAAAUGUAUACUCAUGUUUUGUCUUGUUUUUUAACUUGGUGUUGUUAAUCACGACAAUAACGGAAAAUCCUUCUCUUGAAUUGCUUUUUUCAUCUGAUAUAAUAAUGGAAGCCAAAGUAUUCACAUUUUUAAAACAGCCCUAACUUAAAUGUAGUUUUGAACUUCUUAUCGGAACAUUUUAUACUGUAUUAUGAAGAUUGUAUUUAUGUAAUGCUUAGAAUGAUAUAUCAAUAAAGUAACCUAUUGAAACAGA